GACGAACGCUGGCGGCGUGCUUAACACAUGCAAGUCGAACGGAAAGGCCCUGCUUUUGUGGGGUGCUCGAGUGGCGAACGGGUGAGUAACACGUGAGUAACCUGCCCUUGACUUUGGGAUAACUUCAGGAAACUGGGGCUAAUACCGGAUAGGAGCUCCUGCUGCAUGGUGGGGGUUGGAAAGUUUCGGCGGUUGGGGAUGGACUCGCGGCUUAUCAGCUUGUUGGUGGGGUAGGGGCUUGCCAAGGCUGUGACGGGUAGCCGGCCUGAGAGGGUGACCGGCCACAUUGGGACUGAGAUACGGCCCAGACUCCUACGGGAGGCAGCAGUGGGGAAUAUUGCACAAUGGGCGGAAGCCUGAUGCAGCAACGCCGCGUGCGGGAUGACGGCCUUCGGGUUGUAAACCGCUUUCGCCUGUGACGAAGCGUGAGUGACGGUAAUGGGUAAAGAAGCACCGGCUAACUACGUG
rnacentral:rRNA from 1 species